rnacentral:rRNA from 1 species
GACGAACGCUGGCGGCGUGCUUAACACAUGCAAGUCGAACGGAGUGGCGAACGGGUGAGUAACACGUGGGGAUCUGCCUGAUAGUGGGGGAUAACGUUCGGACACGGACGCUAAUACCGCAUACUAUCAGCUGAGCCUAGGUCGGAUUAGCUAGUUGGUGAGGUAAUGGCUCACCAAGGCUACGAUCCGUAACUGGUCUGAGAGGAUGAUCAGUGACACUGGAACUGAGACACGGUCCAGACUCCUACGGGAGGCAGCAGUGGGGAAUAUUGGACAAUGGGCGAAAGCCUGAUCCAGCCAUGCCGCGUGUGUGAAGAAGGUCGUCGGAGUGUAAAGCACUUUAAGUUGGGAGGCGUGACCGACAGAAUAAGCACCGGCGAACUCUGUGCCAGCAGCCGCGGUAAUUC